CUCGCACCGCGACCCCAGGUCAGGCGGGGC
rnacentral:rRNA from 1 species